GGCUUUACUCAGUGGCAGUACUGUAGCCAAUGAAGUUCAUCUGAGGCACGAUUAUUGCUAAUUGAAAACUUUUCCCAAGAAAGCAUCUUGUCUGGACUGAUGACUUGAGCCCAAUGUCAAGACUU
ensembl:snRNA U4 U4 spliceosomal RNA